GGCAGCGGACCAAUAGCAGUGAAUUGAAGGCGGUGCCUUGUGAAUCUCGCCUGGCUGCACGCGCAGGGGAGUGGGGGCGUGGCAUUUUUUUGAGGAAAAAAAGCUAAACAAUCUUUAAUAUUUCAAAUUGACUGUGUCGGCUUUUUAAGUUGUCUCGGCUGGUGGAGAAGUCCAUACCUUAGAAUAGUGGUAACACACGGGGAUCCACUCAAGACAGGCCUGAAUGUAUUUUCUUCCAAAUUUCUGGACGAAAAGGUAUAGAAAGCGGGUAAUCUUUCUUUAGUCACCACUCCGGUCAGACGAUGAAUUCUAAACGUUUGCUUGACAUGUCUCCGGCUGAAAUACUGGUCGGGGGCGCUUCGAAACAAGCCGGUAUUGACCAGCAUGCAGAGGGUUCCAAGGGAAGCGAAAUGAGUGUCACCACUACUGACAGCGGUGUCAUUCUGGCGUGCGGGAGCGGGCCCGCAUCAGGAGCAGUUUUCUGCACAUUCGUGCUAGACGAUGGCACUUUGAGAGAAUGUACAAACCAGGACAUUAUCCUCAAUGGGAAUGACCUGUCGUCAGGGAAAGAAAAAUACGCGCACCGGAAAAUAAUGGGUUGUGGUGGCGAGGCAGAUGAGAGGAACAGUGGUCUGACUGGGGUCCUUACUAACGGCAGUCCCACUCACUGCCUGAUCCUGAACGGGCAGAAGCCGGACAGACACAUGCACUCGAAAGUGAGGAAUCCGCUGGUGCCCGAUGGUUUCCAGGAAACCGGACAUCAAGUGCCACCUGAGGAGAGAAAUUCCCACCCCUCCUCCCACAUACCUGUCCCCCGACGCAGGCGGCGAAUCGCAUCUCUGCAUGUCUGUCAGACAUAUCAGUGUGGAUGACGGAUCACCAGCUCAAGCUGAACCUCGGCAAGACGGAGCUGCUCUUCCUCCCGGGGAAGGACUGCCCGUUCCAUGAUCUCGCC
rnacentral:lncRNA from 1 species